GUUGCUUUGUGUAUAUUUUCUACUAUCUGUUGCAUGAUGAAAUCGAAUUGAAUUAAAUUAAACGCACAUGGCAGUUCGUUCUCAUUACAGCCGGACACUACUAGGGAACGCCAAAACAAUGAAUAUUCCUUCUCAUCAGUCAGAAUUAGUGAAAUUGUGUACAAAAUGUAAAAUGUUAUUGUCAAUAUCAUAUAAUUAUAGGGGGAUAAAUUAAAACCAUAUAUAAUAAGUUUACAUAUUGUUUUAGUUUUCAGUAUUCGAUUGCCGCUAUGUCUGAUGGUUCCUCCCUAUCUUCAGACUCCCUCUUCAUCUCUUGCAGUCAACUUUUUACAACUCACCCAAUAUGCUUUCAAUUGCCCUCUUUGUCAGCUUAAGCACUCCCCGGCUGUUUUCUGUAUUUUUCAGAUCUGUCUGUCUCUACUAUUGUAUCUCUCUCCCCACCCUUCAUACUACAACACCCAUUUUCCUGUCUUCUAAGCCAUAUUAGACCCUCGCAGUCAUAUUCCUCCCCUGACAAAAUUCUUCUAGGAAGUUUUUUUUAAUUUUUUUUUUUUAAAUUGAAUAACAAGAAAUGUAUUAUCACUUAAUUCAUUAAAAAUACUUGCACCUAAUGUGAUGUCUCAGCGGGAUGCUACAUAGCUUUGUAUUGAAUACACAGUAAUUUAUGCGAGGGCGCACAUAAAGACCAACCUAUGAUGGGUUGCAUGUAUCUGUUCGGGGUCUCCGUAAUGUUUUUGUCUGUAACAGCACAACGUAUAACAAACAUCGUGUCUGUAAUACUAGUGGGAGUUAUGAGGUUGUGCAGAUUUGUUGUUUAUUAGUAAGUGAACAUAUAACAAUAUUAUAUACUUAUUACAUUUUUUUUUCAUACUAAUCCCUGACCCAUUCAGCAGAUAGCGCAUGGAAUAGCUAGGCCGUUAAAAGAAGAACUAUCACUUCUGGGAUUCACAGCAUUUAAUAAAACAUUGCAGUUCUUCUAUAACCUGAGAUACUUCAUUUCCUUUUUAAACUAUAAUAAAGAUCUGGCAAAUCAAAUCACAAUCCAGUUCAGACGCAAAACCAGGGCAAACAUUGCAAAUAAGGAGAAGAAAUAGAAACAUCUAUAUGUGCUUUCUGUAAGGUGACUGCCAAGUGCAAAGGACAGAGUUUGUAACAAUGAUGGACAGGGAGCUAAGAUGGAGGCGCCCAGUUACAGGAUUCCUACAUUUAAUUAUUCUUAUUUUUGUAACCUCACAAAUAUUUAUUUCUUUAAUAUAGGAAUAAGUAAGCAUGAUAUUAAGUCCUUGGAAGUGACAAUUCCCCUGUAAGUCACUGGUUGUUUUCCAAUACUUUGCUGAUUGUGAAUUCUUCAUCUUAAUUUUCUUGUAGACUUAAUCAUAGCCGCUCCGGCACAAUAAAGGUUAAUCUCCCAUGCACCAUAUUGAAACUAAAAGCCCCCCUUUCAUUCUUGUGAAAACUAUUUUAACCACUUAAAGACAAAGCGGUAUUUUGUAAUAAUGAUCCUGUCAUUAAACUCUGUUGUUUGUUUUACCUGAGCAUGGCAGAGACAAAAGCGUAGGAUGCACCCUGCUCACCUAUAAACUGUCUGCUUCGCUUUGAUCCAUACAGGUUGCAAAUUCUGAUAAUGAGUGCUGCUCUUUGAAGAUCUGAGUAAUUACAGGAGCCAUGCCGCACUCUGCUCCUUUAAAUGUGCGACAGAAUUAAAGGAACAAAACAAUAUGACUUUAAAAGUCAGUCCAUCUAAUCUGCUAAUGCUUGAAGCUAUUACAACCAUUUUACCACCCAGGGAACGACGCUUUCAG
rnacentral:lncRNA from 1 species